UUCCAGUAUUUUAUUUUUUUUAAAAAAUUAGUUUUUACCAAUUAUGUUUGUUUUGCUGUGGAGCAGGUCUGUGCAACUUCUCAAGCUGCCAUUUUCAAAGGGGAGCUCCAGUUUCUAUAUUUUAAGUACAGAAAGAAGGAAAAGUUUUCUGAAGUAAUUGGAGUAAAGAAUUCUCCUAGAUUUUUACAUUUUAUUCCAACAGUUAUGAUAAACAUAAAACAAAUACUGAAACUUUACAAAGUGUUAGGCAUUGUCCUGAGUGCUUAGAAAAUAUUAAUAUAUUUAGUCCUUCGUAAGAUACACAUUGUUUUACUUUCCUCAUCUUGUAGAUGAGAACAUAGGCCCCAAAAGCUUCAGAAAUUUUCUCAGGUCACACAGCUAAGUGGAAAAGCAAGGUUUAAACAAAGGAAAAUUAACUUCACAGACUGUAUUUUUUUAUUUCACUUUUUUCCCUAGAAAUAGAUACUUAAAAUUUGGUUCAUAAUGUAAGUAAAUUUUUAAGUAGUUUUCACUUAGUAUUAAAAAGUAGUCUUUUUUUACCUUAAAUAUUGUUUAAAUGUAAUUUCCAAUGCCUGCAUAAUCUUGUUCCAUACUGCCAAUUUACUUUUCACUUUCACAGCAGAUAGCUCAGCUGUCUCAUUACCUCCUCAUCCUCACUGAAAACAAUAUUCUUUUUUUAAAAAAAGUUUCAAUCUCUUUGUAAAGUCUUUUCUCUUAUGGUUGGUUUAUUUUAUAUUUACACUCUAUUUUUACAUUUGUUUCAUUACAAAGUGCAGUAGUUCCCUGGAGACACAGUGGCAAAUUACCACAAACUGGGGGAACAAAAAACAACAAAAAUGUUCCUCUCAUAGUUCUGGGGGCCAGAAGCUCAAAAUCACUUUCACUGGGCUGAAAUCAAAGUGCCAGCUGGGCCAGGGUCCCUCCAAUGGUUCCAGGAGGUAAUCCUUUCCUUGUUCUUCAAGCUUUUGGUGGCUUCAGGUGUUCCUUAGCUUGUGACCACGUCACUCUAAUCUAUGCCUCCACAGUCCAACUGCCUCACCAUCUUCUGUCUUAAAAACUCCCUCUACCACUCUAAGGACCCACCAAGAUAAUGCAGGGUAAGUCCCUCUUCUCCAGAUUUUUAACUGAUUUAUUUUGCUAUAUACAGUAAUAUUCGCUAUUUUGCCAUAUAAGGUGAUAAGAAUAUACUUGAGAUAUAUACCAAAUGUGAUCCUUAGCACAUUCAUUUUCUUCCUGUUACAUCCUAGACAAAUGCCAUAAAGCUGCAAAUUUUAAGCUGUAGCUCUGAGGCACCUCAGAGACACACAGUUUAAAAAUCACUAUCAACCAAUCAAUAUCCAGAAUAAUUAAUUCCCCCUUAUAAGAGAAUUAUCUAAGUCACAGUUUAAAAUACGGCAUUAAAAUCUAAGUAGUAUGUUUUUGCCUAAUCCAAACAUUUCUUUAAAAGAAAAAUAACUCCUACUGGGGCUACAAUGUGACAUAAUAAAAAAUAGUAAUAAUUUUUAAAAAUAACAUGGUACCCUUC
rnacentral:lncRNA from 1 species